AUACCCGUGCAGUGAUAUUAAUUCUGCUAUUAUAUAUAAGACAUAUAUCACUGUAAUAAAGUGAUAGAUGCGAAUGCAAAAUCAAUAAAAUAAUGCCUGACAAACUCUAUUAAAUAUGAAUACAGAGAUUUAUAUUAAAGUGAUACUCCUUGAGAUAACUCUUAAGCGUCUUUGGCAAUUGUAACUUAUUUAUACCAUCAUAUGUCGUCCGUGUAGUAAUUACUGCUCGACAUAAGUGUUGUAAAGGAAAAGCAAAAUUUCGAUGAAAUGGUAUUGUAAGCAUAGGUUCAAAGAACAUAGAACACGAUGGAUGCUUAUAAUGCUCGAUUAAACCGCACACCUGGAAAGAUUAAUCAACCUACCUGCGUAUGCGCUGGCCUCUCAAUAUUUGGAAUUAACGUAAAGUCGAUUUGUGAUAACGCUGUCAAAGCAGCAGCUUGUAUACCGGCAUGCGCUUGGAACAAAGCUGCCAAACUGUCUACUGUUAUUCCAUUUGGAUGUACUUGAAUUGUCGAAGGAUAAUUAGGUUUAUAACCCGGAGGAGGUUCGACUCCCUCCUCCAUUUCUCGUGCACGUUGUAGUCGUGCUCUUUUGUCACAAUCCUGUAAUGCAGGCUAUUAAGUACCGUGUUUAAUACACAAGUUUAUUACAGAUGCAAUAAGACAUACUUCCAUUGGAAAUUCUUCUGGAUUGAAUCUUGAAAGGUCGAUCACAGGACUGGGAGGAAGCGGUCGUAGUACUGGACUUUGAGGAGCAGACCGACUAUUAAAUAUAACACCAGCUCCCAUAGGGUGUUCUUCGGUUCUUCUAUAACCAGUGCAAACACAAUCUAAACUAUUAUUUCCUUGACCAGGAAUAAUAUCUGUACUUUUAGAAUUUUUAUUCUUAGCACAGUUAAAUUUUAAUACCCAGCUACUUCGCUUCUUUUUUGAAGAUAAAAUAUGAGUACACGCUGGACUUUGAUCCUUAUUACGCUGUUUACCUAAUGAUAUUAAAUUUCAUAUCAAUUUAUAAAACUAAUUAAUAAAAUCCACAACAAACAUAUAAA